ACAUUGGUUCGUCAUCGUGGUUCUGCGGGCGAAAGUCCGGAACUAAGAGGGAAUUCGGUCGGGGCUUUACUGCCUUAAAGCCGAAGCUGCCCCCGCAACUGUAAGCGGCGAGCGAAAGUCCAUCCAUGUCACUGAGGCAAACCUCGGGAAGACGGACCAGAGCGACGACCCGUAAGCCAGGAGACCUGCCGCGAUAGAUAACGUCCA
rnacentral:ncRNA from 2 species